UCACUGUGACACUGGGCAAGUCACUUAACUCUUCUGGUUUUCAGUUUUCUCUUAGGUCCUGUGCAACCGGAGACAGUCAUGGUUACUGGUUUGGGGUCCCAAGGACACCAGGAGAAUUCUGCUACUACCCAUGCGAACAGCAGAUAGAUGGAUUUGAGUAACAGUCACAGCACAACGCACGAAUCGAACCAUUGGUAAUAGAGGGUCAAGGUCAAGUGACAGCACCUCACUGACCACUGGCUCAAAGGGCAACGGGGUCCCAUCACGGCCCUGUUCUCAUUCCCUGGGACGUCCUCCUCAAACCCAGCACAAUUCCCACAGCUUGCGUCAGCACCAGUAUCAACAAUCUCUUCCUGACUCAAGGGACCACAGGCACCUGAGAAGUCGUCUACUGGAAUCAGCACAAGGGGUGAAGAAGCAUGUGCACAAUUUCACAAGACCAGUGGUCCUCUCUGCCUUGAUCCCCCUUGUGGUAUUUGAUACAGUGGAACCCUUCCUUUCGCUGAACAACAUAGGUCACAAUUUACAAAAUUCUGUUGACCUGAUUUUUUUUUUUAUGAUUCAUUCAAAAGGCUUGAGAAACCUUCCUGAGGAUAAAUAGGAGGCAUAUCUGAGAUGGUGCUGAACUUUUAAGUCUUUAAUUUGUUACCAAAUCCUUUCUUGGAAUGAUGAACUCAAAUCCUUUCUUGGAAUGUUGAACUUCUCUUCCUUCUAGAACCCCCUAACUUCUGGAAGCCAGUUAAUGAAAUCCCAGGGAGUCCCAUAUGUAAGGUAUGAGAUAAAAUGUUUCGACCCAGAUUCCUUCAUGACAUUCCUCCCACCCACUACCCACCCCUUUCUGGUCUCCAUGCUCCAGCUCACGUUCAAGCUGUCUUCAUAACCUUUGGAGGCUUUUGUUAUUGCUGGAAGAAUUCAAUAUAAAGGUACCUAGUCCUCCUCCUGUGCUAGAGUUGAGCUGCUUGUAUCUUAAGAAAAAAUAUAUAUUGCUGUUCUAUUCCAAGAUACUCAUUCGGUUAGAUGGUGGCUCUAGUAACUAGCAUACCUUACUGUCCAACAUUUUUCUCCCUUCUCCAAAAGGAAAGUGUAUAAUUUUACUGCCAACAGGCUCUCGGAUGUAGAAACAGUAAGUGGUCGGUCACUGCCCACCAGGAACAGGGAGAGUAUUGAUCUGAAGAGGACAGUCUAACCUGUCUUCCCUCUUUGCUUAGGGGCAAAGAGUCCAGAGCUGCUCCCAGGUGGUUUGCAAAUCUACUGGCCUGUUUUUCAAGGUUCUCAAGAUUUUGGCCGAGGGAAGCAUAUCUUGAGCAUGGUUAUAGGAAUGAUGGUUCGCACAUUUUAGACUUAUUUGUA